AUGACUGCUGCAAAACCCAUAGUAAGAUAUGUGAAAAGUACAUUGAGCAUUGGCCUAAAUUUUAGCAAGUCAUCCUCUACACUUAUUAGUGCCUUAUCUGAUUCAGACUGGGCAGGUUGUCUAGAUGACAGACACUCAACUGGUGAUUUUGCAGUAUUUUUUGGACCCAAUUUGAUAUCUUGGAGUGCAAGGAAGCAAGCCACUAUUUCCAGAUCCAGCACAGAAGCAGAGUACAAAGCAUUGUCAAAUGCAACAGCAGAGAUCAUAUGGGUGCAGUCAAUUUUGAAGGAACUAGGUAUGAAACACACUAGAGCUCCAUGUCUAUGGUGUGAUAAUCUAGGUGCUACCUACCUAUCAGCAAAUCCAAUCUUUCAUGCUAGAACUAAACACAUUGAGAUAGAUUUUCACUUUGUCCGAGAAAGAGUUGCAAAUAAACUCCUAGAUAUUCGGUUUAUUCAUUCUCAAGACUAA
rnacentral:rRNA from 1 species